rnacentral:rRNA from 1 species
AUACGAAGGUCCCAAGCGUUAUUCGGAAUCACUGGGCGUAAAGAGUAUGUAGGCGGUUUGGUAAGUCAGGUGUGAAAUCCCGAAGCUCAACUUCGGAACUGCAUCCGAUACUGCUAGACUUGAGUAAUGGAGAGGCAGGUGGAAUUCUCGGUGUAGCAGUGAAAUGCGUGGAUAUCGAGAGGAAGACCAAUGGCGAAGGCAGCCUGCUGGACAUUUACUGACGCUGAGAUACGAAGGCUAGGGUAGCGAAAGGGAUUAGAUACCCCGGUAGUCC